AUCGCUUCUCGGCCUUUUGGCUAGAAUCAAGUGUGAUAUCUGUUCUUAUCAGUUUAAUAUCUGAUACGUCCUCUAUCAAAGGGACAAUAUAUUAAAUGGAUUUUGGGCAAGGGAGAUGGAAUAGGAGCUUGCUCCGUCCACUCCACGCAUCGACCUGGUAUUGCAGUACUUCCAGGAACGGUGCACCCCCU